GAGCAAUCUGGUCUUUUCAUGGGAUGAUUCAAUGUGGAUUUGAGAAAAAUGAGAAAAAAUUACACGAAAGAGGAAAUGGAACAAUAACAAGCAGAUAUUUCAGUUACAUCAAGGCAGCAUUUCCUUUCUAACAUGGUACGCUCCAUUUGCAAGUCCCAUUAUGCUAAUGCACAAAGCAAUGAGAAGUGGAAAUGAUUCAUUAGCAUAGUUGGAAGAUGCUAAGUGAGUGAUUCUAUGCCAAAUUGCCAGACAUGGUUAAUUGUCUGCCAUAAACCUCAGUCAGACACAAACAUAUAUACACAAGUAACGUGUUCAAAGAAAUUCAUGCAACAAUGUCCACAACAGCGCAUCUUCCAUGUGACAAGCAUUUAAUGUAGCGUGGCAGUGUUACACAGAUGUUUGCUGCUCUGAGCCCGGCAAAAUCUAUGCAUGGAUUUGACUCCAGGAUGACAAAACAAACAAAAAACAAACAAAAAGAACUAAAAUUUUUGAACAAAAAAAAGAACACUGAUUAGGUCUUUAUUUGAUAAAACAGCAAAACAGGCUCAUAUGCCUUUCACUUUAAGCAUUAACAUACAGAAAGUAGUAGAUCCUUUACAAAUUCCAAUAACAUUUUAAAAGAUGCCACAAAGACAGAUGAUUUUCAAGAAGCUAUGUAAUAUUUCAAGCAAAUGCCUCUGCUGUUUCUAAAAUCACUUACAUGUUUGCUGCAUUAAAGCACAGUUGAUUAAUCAGAAAUAGCUGACUCAACAGUUCCUGGAUAUGUGUGAAUGUUUAUAUGUUGGUGUGUAGAUAACAUCACAGGCAGCAUAAUGUUCUCCAUGGCUUCUUCAGCGAGUUUCACAUCCGUCACAUGUGCUCAGGGUAAACCUACGCUCAUAUAUGAGCACAGUUCUCAUCCUGUUCAUCAUCCUUCCCGUCUGGGGAGAGAUUGUGUUGAAAGUGUGAACUUCAAUGUAUAUACCAUUUUUGAAAUUGUGUUGAGAGGAAGACAGAGGUAGGACAGCACAAAAAAAAAUAAAAAAUCCAGAAAGUGGGGAAAACAUGACUUAAAGGAACAAAACCAAGUAUAACAAGAGUGGUGGAAGAUGGAAAGGAAACACUAGCUAAAGUUUUUGGAAUUUUGACCAGGCACCCCAAAUACGGGAAGGUCAGGUCAGGUCGAUCCUUCUUGCCAAGGUGGUGCUCUUCCUCUUCAGCCACACCCGUUAUCAGCAGCUCUCCUCUAAAUCUGUAUACUUGCCUAUUAGGUGCAUUUAGUUUAGUGACCUGGGCACGUAGGUCCCAAGAAUGUGUUCAUUUAUAGGCUAGUGUAAUGUGAAAGAGCCCUUUG
ensembl:lncRNA